rnacentral:rRNA from 1 species
AUGAACGCUAGCUACAGGCUUAACACAUGCAAGUCGAGGGGCAGCAUUUUAGUUUGCUUGCAAACUGAAGAUGGCGACCGGCGCACGGGUGAGUAACACGUAUCCAACCUGCCGAUAACUCUGGAAUAGCCUUUCGAAAGAAAGAUUAAUACCGGAUAGUAUACGAAUAUCGCAUGAUAUUUUUAUUAAAGAAUUUCGGUUAUCGAUGGGGAUGCGUUCCAUUAGUUUGUUGGCGGGGUAACGGCCCACCAAGACUACGAUGGAUAGGGGUUCUGAGAGGAAGGUCCCCCACAUUGGAACUGAGACACGGUCCAAACUCCUACGGGAGGCAGCAGUGAGGAAUAUUGGUCAAUGGGCGAGAGCCUGAACCAGCCAAGUAGCGUGAAGGAUGAAGGCUCUAUGGGUCGUAAACUUCUUUUAUAUGGGAAUAAAGUUUUCCACGUGUGGAAUUUUGUAUGUACCAUAUGAAUAAGGAUCGGCUAACUCCGUGCCAGCAGCCGCGGUAAUACGGAGGAUCCGAGCGUUAUCCGGAUUUAUUGGGUUUAAAGGGAGCGUAGGUGGAUUGUUAAGUCAGUUGUGAAAGUUUGCGGCUCAACCGUAAAAUUGCAGUUGAAACUGGCAGUCUUGAGUACAGUAGAGGUGGGCGGAAUUCGUGGUGUAGCGGUGAAAUGCUUAGAUAUCACGAAGAACUCCGAUUGCGAAGGCAGCUCACUAGACUGUUACUGACACUGAUGCUCGAAAGUGUGGGUAUCAAACAGGAUUAGAUACCCUGGUAGUCCACACAGUAAACGAUGAAUACUCGCUGUUUGCGAUAUACAGUAAGCGGCCAAGCGAAAGCAUUAAGUAUUCCACCUGGGGAGUACGCCGGCAACGGUGAAACUCAAAGGAAUUGACGGGGGCCCGCACAAGCGGUGGAGCAUGUGGUUUAAUUCGAAGCAACGCGAAGAACCUUACCAGGUCUUGACAUCGAUCUAAAGGCUCCAGAGAUGGAGAGAUAGUUAUAGAGAAGACAGGUUGUGCAUGGUUGUCGUCAGCUCGUGUCGUGAGAUGUUGGGUUAAGUCCCGCAACGAGCGCAACCCUUGCUAUUAGUUGCUACGCAAGAGCACUCUAAUAGGACUGCCGUUGACAAAACGGAGGAAGGUGGGGACGACGUCAAAUCAUCAUGCCCCUUAUGACCUGGGCUACACACGUACUACAAUGGGUGUCAACAAAGAGAAGCGAACCCGCGAGGGAGAGCAAAGCUCAAAAACACACCCCCAGUUCAGAUCGCAGGCUGCAACCCGCCUGCGUGAAGUAGGAAUCGCUAGUAAUCGUGGGUCAGCAUACCGCGGUGAAUACGUUCCCGGGCCUUGUACACACCGCCCGUCACACCAUGAGAGUUGGGAAUACCCGAAGCCUGUGAGCCAACUAAUUUAUUAGAGGCAGCAGUCGAAGGUAGAAUCAAUGAUUGGGGUG